AGAGGUUUGAUCCUGGCUCAGGAUGAACGCUGGCGGCGUGCUUAACACAUGCAAGUCGAACGAAGCACUUAAGACGGAUUACUUCGGUUUGAAGUCUUAUUUGACUGAGUGGCGGACGGGUGAGUAACGCGUGGGUAACCUGCCUCAUACAGGGGGAUAACAGUUAGAAAUGACUGCUAAUACCGCAUAAGCGCACGGUCUCGCAUGGGACGGUGUGAAAAACUCCGGUGGUAUGAGAUGGACCCGCGUCUGAUUAGCUGGUUGGUGAGGUAAGGGCUCACCAAGGCGACGAUCAGUAGCCGGCCUGAGAGGGUGAACGGCCACAUUGGGACUGAGACACGGCCCAAACUCCUACGGGAGGCAGCAGUGGGGAAUAUCGCACAAUGGGGGAAACCCUGAUGCAGCGACGCCGCGUGAAGGAAGAAGUAUUUCGGUAUGUAAACUUCUAUCAGCAGGGAAGAAAAUGACGGUACCUGACUAAGAAGCCCCGGCUAACUACGUG
rnacentral:rRNA from 1 species